AACGAACGCUGGCGGCAGGCCUAACACAUGCAAGUCGAGCGCUCACUUCGGUGGGAGCGGCGGACGGGUUAGUAACGCGUGGGAACGUGCCCUUCUCUACGGAAUAGCCAUUGGAAACGAUGAGUAAUACCGUAUACGCCCUUCGGGGAAAGAUUUAUCGGAGAAGGAUCGGCCGCGUUAGAUUAGAUAGUUGGUGGGUAACGGCCUACCAAGUCUACGAUCUAUAGCUGGUUUUAGAGGAUGAUCAGCAACACUGGGACUGAGACACGGCCCAGACUCCUACGGAGCAGCAGUGGGAAUCUAGACAAUGGGCGCAAGCCUGAUCUAGCCAUGCCGCGUGAGUGAUGAAGGCCCUAGGGUCUAAAGCUCUUUCGCCAGGGAUGAU
rnacentral:rRNA from 1 species